rnacentral:sRNA from 2 species
UCCACUGUCAUUGGGGAGUAGCCGCCCUUCUUCACUGAGAGGGGUUUGCGUCAACAGACUUGUCUGGCCUUGCAACAGGGUCGGCAUGGCGCAAACAGUUUUUCAAGCCUGGCGAGACCUUUGACUGCACAGCCUCCAGAACUUUAAAAAGCU